CAGUCGUCGGACCAUUUCCCAACGAAGAACUAGCAUCUGCAGUAUUUGACCGUGGCCCGAGAUCGCGUCGCUUGCGCAAGCAUUCUGCAGCGAGGCGAACCCUCACCGACUCAACCUCCUACCGACAGCUGUCCGUGGUAUCAGUAGUUUGGUGUGUGCGGAGUUUACUUCAGACAAGCGAUCUUCGCAGAUCGCCGAGAGCUUGCAAGGAGUCACCCAUCCCUGGCUAGGGUUGCAGUCCAGCGCCCUUGUCGCGUUGGCCUGAUGACCGCUCCCCGAUACGCCGUUGCGUCUGACGUUGCUCUUGAACUGAUCCGGCUUCUUGCGCAGCAUCUUGCUGAACGCCUCGACGAGGACGAAGACGGCGUCGUACAUAAGCGCUGCCUGAGCCUGGGAACCAAGGCGUGACGAACGGCAUCUGAAACGUAUUGCUGUACGAGUGGAGAGUGUCGAACGAGUCCGGACUGACGGCGCCCAGCAUGGAAUAGACGCCUCUGCUGAACUGGUUGCAUACUGGAAUUAGGUGAAGAAAAACGCAUUGCAAUUAUAAACCGAUUUCAUCGAUAAUCUGCUUUACACGGAGGAGAGUGCUUGCAACGUGUAACGAGUUGAAGGUGUCAAUAUUAGUGAGAUUGUCAACUAUUUUAGUUAUUUUGACCGCCAAUCGGUGUGCAGUCAAGUUCCACGCAAGAAGUAACAAGUCCGUUGCAGAGACUGCGUGGGAGGAUGAAAUCUAGGGAUUAGGCGAAGGUGCAGAUUUCGGAUCUUUGGCCACGCGAAGCGAAGAAGUGGACGUCUUGGUAUCGAGAAACUGGUACAACUUUAUGUCAGUAAAGUGCGACGCCGAGGGGCGAGACGUCGAGUGGAGAAGACGUUCCUCGUCGUCUGGAUUGCAAUUCGGAAAACUCACGGCCACGCAUUUACGCAUUCAACGCACAAGGGAUUUAAACGAGGUAUAUAUGCCAUUCCGUUGGGGGUGCCGAUCCAAGGAAUCUAGAAGGCAAUGUAAUGGUAGCUGGUAAGGACGAAACUUCUAGCAAGCAGCCGCCUCAGUUAUCUACGUCGUGACAGUGGUGAACGGAACUUACCGGCCAUCGGAAACAGCACCGUAACAAGAUCUUUUGACACUUAGAGCGAAGGAGAAAUCAUGCCCCCCAUUUUUUUUCAUACACUGCAGUUCCACGUGUUGAAUGAACAUUUGCAGUGGCAGUUUCCAAAAGAUAGCAAAAUCCCAACGGAUCAAGAGUAACGGCCGAAAAACGAAAAACUUUAUUUUUUGUCAUUUAUCAGGUGCUGGUCUUUCCUUCUCAAUUUAUUUGCUGCUAUUCCUACGCUAUUUUUGCUACGUUUACUGCAUUCCUGGGGCUCCAAUUAGUCGGGUAGGGGUCGUACAAACUAAUUCAGAGACCAAAGGUUUUUCGGUCAAAAAAUAAAUAAAGCUAACCCCUUUGGAUUUUAGUUGAAAAUUAGAGGAAUUUGGAAAAUCCUAGACUUGAUUCUUUGAUGAAACAUUCCAACGUAAUUUUGCGAGAGAAAUCGAUUGUGCAUAGUCCGUAGUCAGUAACAUUACAGGUGCGAAAAAUACAGCCAUCCACAAGUUUUUUGUUACUACUCGUACUUCUCAUGCACUAUCUUUUCGCACGUUUACUAAACACCAUGACGGAACAUUGUUCAUCCUACAAUUGAUCAGAUUGGAUGCCAUCGUGCACUGCAGAUAUGGUUACCCGCACAUAACACGGGGUCGCGUACAAGACGAGGAUGAUUUUGGCGGAUGUUGUUAAGGAUAAAAAACCUCAGCUCAUAUUUAAAAUAAUACGGUAAUGGAUAAAUCAAUCAAUAUAUGAUUUUUUAACAUACACUUUUUCUUUAUUUCUGUUAAAAAA